rnacentral:rRNA from 1 species
AUGCAGUCGAACGAUGAACCACUUCGGUGGGGAUUAGUGGCGAACGGGUGAGUAACACGUGGGCAAUCUGCCCUGCACUCUGGGACAAGCCCUGGAAACGGGGUCUAAUACCGGAUACUGACCCUCGCAGGCAUCUGCGAGGUUCGAAAGCUCCGGCGGUGCAGGAUGAGCCCGCGGCCUAUCAGCUUGUUGGUGAGGUAAUGGCUCACCAAGGCGACGACGGGUAGCCGGCCUGAGAGGGCGACCGGCCACACUGGGACUGAGACACGGCCCAGACUCCUACGGGAGGCAGCAGUGGGGAAUAUUGCACAAUGGGCGAAAGCCUGAUGCAGCGACGCCGCGUGAGGGAUGACGGCCUUCGGGUUGUAAACCUCUUUCAGCAGGGAAGAAGCGAAAGUGACGGUACCUGCAGAAGAAGCGCCGGCUAACUACGUGCCAGCAGCCGCGGUAAUACGUAGGGCGCAAGCGUUGUCCGGAAUUAUUGGGCGUAAAGAGCUCGUAGGCGGCUUGUCGCGUCGGUUGUGAAAGCCCGGGGCUUAACCCCGGGUCUGCAGUCGAUACGGGCAGGCUAGAGUUCGGUGGGGAGAUCGGAAUUCCUGGUGUGCGGUGAAAUGCGCAGAUAUCAGGAGGAACACCGGUGGCGAAGGCGGAUCUCUGGGCCGAUACUGACGCUGAGGAGCGAAAGCGUGGGGAGCGAACAGGAUUAGAUACCCUGGUAGUCCACGCCGUAAACGGUGGGCACUAGGUGU